rnacentral:rRNA from 1 species
GAUAAACGCUGGCGGCGCACAUAAGACAUGCAAGUCGAACGAACUUAAUCUUUUAGUUUACUAUUAGAAGCGGUUAGUGGCGGACUGGUGAGUAACGCGUAAGCAAUCUGCCUAUCAGAGGGGAACAACAGUGAGAAAUCACUGCUAAUACCGCAUAUGCUGUGAGUACGGCAUCGUACAAACAGGAAAGGAGCAAUCCGCUGAUAGAUGAGCUUGCGUCUGAUUAACUAGUUGGUGAGGUAACGGCCCACCAAGGUGAUGAUCAGUAGCCGGACUGAGAGGUUAAACGGCCACAUUGGGACUGAGAUACGGCCCAGACUCC